GGCCAGGUGGCGGAGUGGUUAACGCGGUAGACUCGAAACUUCUGUAAUACGAACAGGAAUUUCUAGCCAUCUACUUCCUUCGGGAGCGUCUGUUCGAAUCAGGCCCUGGUCG
rnacentral:tRNA from 1 species